rnacentral:rRNA from 1 species
UACGUAGGGUGCGAGCGUUAAUCGGAAUUACUGGGCGUAAAGCGUGCGCAGGCGGCUUUGCAAGACAGAUGUGAAAUCCCCGGGCUCAACCUGGGAACUGCAUUUGUGACUGCAAGGCUAGAGUACGGCAGAGGGGGAUGGAAUUCCGCGUGUAGCAGUGAAAUGCGUAGAUAUGCGGAGGAACACCAAUGGCGAAGGCAAUCCCCUGGGCCUGUACUGACGCUCAUGCACGAA